GUGUUGGUAGACUCAAGAGAGGCACCGGAGAAGCACAAGCGCAGGCAGUUUAUAACUAUUUGAAGGAAUGGGACGUUGCUGACGAUGUAUGCGGCAUUGUGUUCCAUAUGACAGCAAGUAAUACCGGCGGUGUAAAUGGUUCAUGUGUUUUGCUCGAGAAACUUCUUGAGAGGAAUCUUUUGUAUCUGGCGUGCCGUCAUCAUGUUCUCGAACUUCUCCUUAAAACGGCUUUUGAAUCAUCAAUGGGGUGCACUUCAGGGCCUGACGUUCAAAUUUUCAAAAGAUUCCAAGGACACUGGGCCAGCGUGGACGAACGAAAAUUUUCACCCGGAGUCCACGAUGAUAUAGUGAAGGGAGCACUGCGUCGUGAUAUAUAAAAUAUCCUUGCCUUUUCUGAGAUACAAUUUCAGAAUAAACCUAACCGGACGGACUACAGGGAAUUUCUGGAACUAGUAAUAAUAUUCCUGGGUGGAAAUCUGACGGGAGGGAACCGCUUUCGCGCUUUGGGUCCAAUUCAUCACGCCAGGUGGAUGUCCAAAGCCAUUUACUCGCUCAAAAUUUAUCUAUUCAGAGACCAAUUCCAUUUGACGUCCCGAGAAGAAUCAGUUAGCAGCUAACGCUAGUGGUUCUGGAUGUAUCUCCUCGAAAAUGUGCAAGGCUGUAUUUGAAAAAUUUGUGAACCACCUUUGGUACUUGUCGGAGGAACUGAUUGCUUUCGCUUUCUUCGAUGAAAACGUAAGUGUCGAGUGCAAACGAAAGAUGUGCCAGGCCAUCAAAUCUCGUUCUGCGCUCAAUCAUGAUAGAAAGAGGUGGGAAACUGGGGUUAAGAACCCGGAAUUGGUCCAAGAGUCGAGCUUAGAUUCAUUUGUUACGAAAAAUACGAUGAAAUUUUUUGAAAUAUUAAGAAUCGAUACAAGUUUUUUGGACACUGACCUAGCCACGUGGGAGAUGAGAGAUGAUUUUGCGAAAACUUCAAAAAUUCUCAAAUCUCUUCAUGUCACAAAGGAUAUCGCUGAAAGAGUCGUGUCUCUCGCAAGCGAAUAUCAUAAUGUGCUCACAAAAGAUGAAGAAGGCAAAGAAAAUAUAAUGCGCGUUGUGCAAUUAGUACGCGAGGCGUCAUCAAAUUGCACAAGAGAAGAUUUGAAGUUUUCAUUGCAAAAUUAUUUGAAUAAUCAAUCAACAGAAACUUCAGGCAGUGUAGAUUAGGAUAUUACGAUUAGUGUUAUUUUGAUCAUUUUUAUAAGACUGGUUAUUUCCCCUCGCAAAACCUGUGGUCUCUGCUGCCUCCACGAACCUGACUCCCUAACCCAUUUCCUCCUGCGGUGUCCCACCACUCAACUUCCUCGCAUUGAUUUCCUUCGCAGAACCAAUACAACCUUUGAUGAUCUGAAUGAGAAUGUACUGUUAGACCUAGUCUGCUGUUGUGAUUGGAAAUCUCUGAAAUUGUUCUGUUAUUUUGUCGCGAACUGUAUGAGAGUGAGAACCUGAUUUAUUUACUUUGUAUGAUUUAUCGCUUGUAAUUUAUGUACCCUGAGAACGCUGUAUUGAGUGCGACUACUCUCCUAUGACUGUUACCGAGUUUUUCCUGAGUUUUACUAUGCUCUAAUGUACACCAUUGCACACCUAAGUUUUAAUUUUUUAAUUUUCUUUUACUUUUUCAUUGUUUACUUGGCAGCUAUUUUUUUUACUUGGUUUUUAUUCAUUAACAAACAUUAUUUACAUAUUUACAUAACUUAAAAACUAGAAUUGAAAAACUUAUAUGUAAAAUAUUUUCAUACGAUUUCGUAAACUUAUGGUCCAUUAGUGACUCUCAGGUUUAAUUUUGUAUUUGUAAAUUUGAUUUCAUAAUAACAUAAUAUUUUUUGGAAUGCAAUUAACAAUGCUAUUGAUAAAUGAAUGUGUACACAUACUAAUGUGCCUAAAAAAAAAGGAAAAUUUUUUUAGAUUUUGCUGUAAUUGAAAAAAAAAGGCACGACAGGGUAUCCGCAGUAGAAGGGAUGAUUAAUGUAAUUUUUUUUUCAAAAAAUUACCUAUUGUGAAACUUUUAAUAGAAGAAACACUUACAAAUAUGUAAAUUCUUGGUAUAAAGCAACUGUAUAAUAAAGUAAAUAAAUUAGACUGUAUUUAUAA